rnacentral:rRNA from 1 species
UACGUAGGGUGCGAGCGUUGUCCGGAAUUAUUGGGCGUAAAGGGCUCGUAGGCGGUCUGUCACGUCGGGAGUGAAAACCCAGGGCUCAACCCUGGGCCUGCUUCCGAUACGGGCAGACUAGAGGUAUGCAGGGGAGAAUGGAAUUCCUGGUGUAGCGGUGAAAUGCGCAGAUAUCAGGAGGAACACCGGUGGCGAAGGCGGUUCUCUGGGCCUUACCUGACGCUCAGGCGCGAAAGCUAGGGGAGCGAACAGG